rnacentral:sRNA from 1 species
UGGCUUGGACUGAGGCUCUGGGUCACCUCCCACCCGUGUUUAUUUAACCUUGUUGCUUCGGCGGGCCCGCCUUAACGGCCGCCGGGGGGCUUACGCCCCCGGGCCCGCGCCCGCCGAAGACACCCUCGAACUCUGUCUGAAGAUUGAAGUCUGAGUGAAAAUAUAAAUUAUUUAAAACUUUCAACAACGGAUCUCUUGGUUCCGGCAUCGAUGAAGAACGCAGCGAAAUGCGAUACGUAAUGUGAAUUGCAAAUUCAGUGAAUCAUCGAGUCUUUGAACGCACAUUGCGCUGGUAUUCCGGGGGGCAUGCCUGUCCGAGCGUCAUUGCUGCCCUCAAGCCCGGCUUGUGUGUUGGGCCCCGUCCCCCGAUCUCCGGGGGACGGGCCCGAAAGGCAGCGGCGGCACCGCGUCCGGUCCUCGAGCGUAUGGGGCUUUGUCACCCGCUCUGUAGGCCCGGCCGGCGCUUGCCGAUCAACCCAAAUUUUAUCCAGGUUGACCUCGGAUCAGGUAGGGAUACCCGCUGAACUUAAGCAUAUCAAUAAGCCGGAGGAAAUUCCGCAACCUUCGCCCUUCUCACUCGGAAGGAAAAUAAUGCGUGCGCUUCUACACUAACUGACAAACACCCGCUCACAACAAGUCGCCUUCGCAAACAGUGAGAACUUCCAGGGUAUCACAUCCUGUGAACAUCCCUCCUCACAACCCAACGCCUUCUGCUUCCCUUUAUACCGCCUUCUCCACUAGGAAUCUUCCAUAAAUUAAUACAAUCCAACUCUUCGGUCGUACAUCCCGCUACCCCUUCACCGGCCAAGACGCCCGUUUGACCUAAUCCAUACCACAAACAAAUCUUUGAGGCUGUCCCAUCAAGACUUACAAAGACCAACCAACUCCCGUCUUAAAGGCCAAUCAAACCCUUAAUAACGCAUUCACAAAACUAAAUCAACAACUUCCGCCAUACACCUUAAU